GAUGAAGAACGUAGCGAAAUGCGAUAAGUAAUGUGAAUUGCAGAAUCCAGUGAAUCAUCGAAUCUUUGAACGCACAUUGCGCCCACCAGCAUUCUGGCGGGCAUGCCUGUUCGAGCGUCAUUUCAACCCUCGACCUCCCUUUGGGGAAGUCGGCGUUGGGGACCGGCAGCACACCGCCGGCCCUGAAAUGGAGUGGCGGCCCGUCCGCGGCGACCUCUGCGUAGUAAACCAACUCGCACCGGAACCCCGACGUGGCCACGCCGUAAAACACCCAACUUCUGAACGUUGACCUCCAAUCAGGUAGGACUACCCGCUGAACUUAAGCAUAUCAAUAAGCGGAGGA
rnacentral:misc_RNA from 1 species